rnacentral:ribozyme from 11 species
ACACACACACAGAGAGAGAGAGAGAGAGAGAGGAGACCAGUUUUCUUCUGUUGGCUUCAAGGCAGCAAAAGAAAGUACGGAAUGACAGGCCCCUGCAUGCCUCUCCCUUCUCUUCUCUUCUCUUCUCUUCUCCUCGUCUCUCUUCUUUCUUUGCUCUUUUCUGUUCAAGUGGACG